GGAUCGCAAAAUCAAGUCUGGGACUAAAUUGAUUGGAAUGAAGAAGACAUUGGUAUUCUACAAAGGUCGUGCUCCUAAGGGGAAGAGAACCAAUUGGGUAGUCCAUGAGUAUCGUACCACUCUUAAAGAACUCGAUGGCACUAACCCUGGACAGAGUGCUUUUGUUCUCUGUCGCCUAUUUAAGAAACAGGAUGAGAGUAUCG
rnacentral:misc_RNA from 1 species